AUGGCCACAAAGGGCUUUGAGUCCCCCCGUGACUCAGUUUCCCCAUGUGCAGCUUCAGGAAGCACAAUGGGACGGGGGAAGGACGCUGCUGGGAUAGCUGGGAAUGCUCCUGGUGAUGCUGGAGCAGCUCUGGGAGUGCUGGCACAUGUCCCACAUCCCCUGUCCUUUUCCACCAGCCUUCUGGCUCCAGUCUGGAGCCUGACCAGUUUGAGGGACCGACUCCACAUUAACCCUUUCACCUCCAUGAUGCUGCUCUGCCUCUUCCAACUCCCAUCCCUCCUCCUGCACCCACUGCAGCCACCACUGAUGGGAUUGAGUGUGGGGCCACGCCUGCAGCUCAUUGGAUGGGGGGACACCCUCAGGCUUCCUGCCAUGUCCCCCCUCCAGGACCCCUGGGACAACUGGCAAUACAUCUCCAAGAUAAGCUUGGACUGUUUCCUUAACCAGCCCAGCAUCAAGUUUGCCAUGUCAGCACUCAUCUUGAUCAGUUUCUGGCUGUACUGGAAGGUGAGGGAUGUGGCGAUCCAGGCAGGAGGGAGACCUUCAGCAUCCCUCCACCCCUGUGUCCUUCCAUCCUUCCAUGUUUUUACCCCAUCUCUGCCCCUCUUUGGCUGCCUCCUCGUGUCUCUGCAUUUACAAGUCCCUGAGUCCCUUAUUCCCCCCAUCCCACUGUGUGUCCCUUUGUGUCCAUCCCUGUGUCCCUUUAUCCUUCCAUCCCUGCGCCACCACAUCUUUGUGUCCCUCAGUCCUUCCAUCUCUCCUUCCUUCCAUCCCUCUAUUAUUGUCUCUGCGUCCCUGCAUCCCUCUGUCCUUCCAUCCCCAUGUCCAACAUCUUUGUGUCCCUGUGUCCUUCCAUCUCUAUGUCCCUCUGUCCCUCCCUUCUUCUGUCCCUCCAUCCUCGCAUCCUUCUGUCCCACCGUCUCCCUCCAUCCCUCCGUCCUCCUGUCCGUCCUUUCUCUGCCGAUCCGGAGCAUUUCUCAGCCCUCUGCUGCCGUCUCGAGGGCGAAGAAGGAAGAGCCGCUCAGAGACACGGUUUAG
rnacentral:lncRNA from 1 species